GUCGGGCUAGCUCAGCUGGAUAGAGCAACAGUCUUCUAAACUGUAGGUCAUGGGUUCGAAUCCCAUGCUCGACA
rnacentral:tRNA from 1 species